AGCGAACGUUAGCGGCGGGCUUAACACAUGCAAGUCGAACGCGAAAGGGAUUCGUCCCCAGUAGCGUGGCGUCCGGGUGAGUAACACGUAGGAAACCUUGCCUAGAGUGGGGGAUAACGUCCCGAAAGGGACGCUAAUACCGCAUAAGCCCACGUCGGCCUCGACCGAUGCGGGAAAAGAUGGCCUCUGAAUUCAAGCUAUCGCUCAAGGAUGGUCCUGCGGCGCAUCAGCUAGUUGGUGGGUAACGGCCUACCAAGGCGAAGACGCGUAGCUGGUCUGAGAGGAUGAUCAGCCACACUGGCACUGAAACACGGGCCAGACUCCUACGGGAGGCAGCAGUGGGGAAUAUUGGACAAUGGGCGUAAGCCUGAUCCAGCCACGCCGCGUGAGUGAUGAAGGCC
rnacentral:rRNA from 1 species